rnacentral:tRNA from 1 species
GAAGGUAUAGCUCAGUGGUAGAGUGUGUGCUUAGCAUGCACGAGGUCCUGGUUCAAUCCCCAGUACCUCCA